CGGCGGACGGGUGAGUAACGCGUGGGUAACCUGCUCAUACAGGGGGAUAACAGUUGGAAACGGCUGCUAAUACCGCAUAAGCGCACAGUACCGCAUGGUACGGUGUGAAAAACUCCGGUGGUAUGAGAUGGACCCGCGUCUGAUUAGGUAGUUGGUGGGGUAACGGCCUACCAAGCCGACGAUCAGUAGCCGACCUGAGAGGGUGACCGGCCACAUUGGGACUGAGACACGGCCCAA
rnacentral:rRNA from 1 species